CAACCCUUAAGCUUAGUUGCCAUCAUUAAGUUGGGCACUCUAAGUUGACUGCCGGUGACAAACCGGAGGAAGGUGGGGAUGACGUCAAAUCAUCAUGCCCCUUAUGAUUUGGGCUACACACGUGCUACAAUGGACAAUACAAAGGGCAGCGAAACCGCGAGGUCAAGCAAAUCCCAUAAAGUUGUUCUCAGUUCGGAUUGUAGUCUGCAACUCGACUACAUGAAGCUGGAAUCGCUAGUAAUCGUAGAUCAGCAUGCUACGGUGAAUACGUUCCCGGGUCUUGUACACACCGCCCGUCACACCACG
rnacentral:rRNA from 1 species